rnacentral:rRNA from 1 species
UACGGGGGGGGCGAGCGUUGUUCGGAAUCACUGGGCGUAAAGGGCGCGUAGGCGGCCCGCACAAGUCUGCGGUGAAAACCCCCGGCUUAACCGGGGGCCGGCCGUGGAAACUGUCGGGCUGGGGGCUGGGAGAGGGCAGCGGAAUUCCCGGUGUAGCGGUGAAAUGCGUAGAGAUCGGGAGGAACACCGGCGGCGAAGGCGGCUGCCUGGACCAGUCCUGACGCUGAGGCGCGAAAGCUAGGGGAGCAAACAGG